AGAUAUCUUCAAAACCCUAACAGUCGUUUCAAACCCUAAUCUUUAUAUACCCGCGCGCAAUUUUCUUCAUAUCUCAAAAACCAUAAAUCCAAAUGCCACGAAACUUAUAUAGAUAGCUUUUUAACACAAAUUUUUACAUUCUCCCAAAGUUUGAGUCAAAAUUUCAUUCGAAAACUCAAGUCAUGGCUCCUAACACUACUUUGAACAAAACCGCUCACUUACUGCCUUUGAUUUGAAUGCGCUGUCUUUAACUCCCUAUAACUCCUUCACAUAAAUUCCAAAUGCAAAAUUUCCUUCGCAAAAGAUGUAUGUCUUGAAGUUGCCCUUCCAGCCGCACCUUCCGAUCUCCAAAAGCUUCCGUUAGACUCCUCUUAAAUUCAAAAGAGUAACAGUAGGUCUCAAAUUGACAACUUAACUUCAAACGGCUAUAACUUAUUCACCUUAACUCCAAACCCUAUAAAAUUUGCACAAAAUUUGUAGUCAAAACCCUAAACUUU
rnacentral:lncRNA from 1 species